GGCGAACGCUGGCGGCGUGCCUAAUACAUGCAAGUCGAGCGGGCCUCCGGAGGUGCUUGCACCUCCGGACGGCCAGCGGCGGACGGGUGAGUAACACGUGGGCAACCUGCCUUUGAGGCCGGGAUAACACCGGGAAACCGGUGCUAAUACCGGAUACGUCCUCUUUCGCGCCUGCGAGAGGGGAGAAAGACGGUCUUUAAGGCCGUCGCUCAAAGAGGGGCCCGCGGCGCAUUAGCUGGUUGGUGGGGCAAGGGCCUACCAAGGCGACGAUGCGUUGCCGACCUGAGAGGGUGAUCGGCCACACUGGGACUGAGACACGGCCCAGACUCCUGCGGGAGGCAGCAGUAGGGAAUCAUCCGCAAUGGGCGAAAGCCUGACGGUGCAACGCCGCGUGAGUGAGGAAGGUUUUCGGAUCGUAAAGCUCUGUUGUGAGGGAAGAACAGCAUCCGGAGGCAAUGCCGGAGGUUUGCCGGUACCUCACCAGAAAGCCCCGGCUAACUACGUGCCAGCCGCCGCGGUAA
rnacentral:rRNA from 1 species